CCUACGGGGGGCUGCAGUGGGGAAUAUUGCACAAUGGGGGAAACCCUGAUGCAGCGACGCCGCGUGAGUGAAGAAGUAUUUCGGUACGUAAAGCUCUAUCAGCAGGGAAGAAGAAAGACGGUACCUGACUAAGAAGCCCCGGCUAACUACGUGCCAGCAGCCGCGGUAAUACGUAGGGGGCAAGCGUUAUCCGGAUUUACUGGGUGUAAAGGGAGCGUAGACGGCUGUGCAAGUCUGAAGUGAAAGCCCAGGGCUCAACCCUGGGACUGCUUUGGAAACUGUGGAGCUAGAGUGCUGGAGAGGUAAGUGGAAUUCCUAGUGUAGCGGUGAAAUGCGUAGAUAUUAGGAGGAACACCAGUGGCGAAGGCGGCUUACUGGACAGUAACUGACGUUGAGGCUCGAAAGCGUGGGGAGCAAACAGGAUUAGAUACCCUAGUAGUC
rnacentral:rRNA from 1 species